GUGCACCAGUCGCGAAAACUUCACAAUGUGCGAAAGCACGAUGAGGGAAUCCCAAGUGCUUGCACGUAAGUGUAAGCUGUUUCUCUGUCUAAAACGCAGAGAGAGUAAGGGCUGGGUAAGACGGGUGCCAGCCGCCGCGGUAAUACCUGCAGCUCGAGUGGUGACCGUUAUUAUUGGGCCUAAAACGUCCGUAGCCGGUUUAAUAAAUGCCUGGGUAAAUCGGACCGCUUAACGGUUCGAAUUCCGGGUAGACUGUUAAACUUGAGACCGGGAGAAGUUAGAGGUACUCCUGGGGUAGAGGUGAAAUUCUGUAAUCCUAGGGGGACCACCAGUGGCGAAGGCGUCUAACUAGAACGGGUCUGACGGUGAGGGGACGAAACGUCCGG
rnacentral:rRNA from 1 species